rnacentral:rRNA from 1 species
GACGAACGCUGGCGGCGUGCUUAACACAUGCAAGUCGAACGGAAAGGUCCGGCGCUUGCUGCGUGCACGAUUGGCGAACGCGUGAGUGACACGCGAGUAACCUGCCCCUGACUUUCGGAUAACUCUACGGAAAACCGGCUAUUACCGGGUAGGAUCUCCUGCUGCACGGGGGUGGAUGGUAAGAUUCGGCGGUUGUGGAUGGACUCGCGGCUUAUGAGCUUGUUGGUGGGGUAGUUGCGGACCAAGGUUUCGACGGCUAGCCGGCCUGAGAGGGUGAACGGCGACAAGGGGACUGAGGGACGGCCCAGACUCCUACGGGAGGCAGCAGUGGGGAAUAUUACACAGUGGGCGGAAGCCUGAUGCAGCAACGCCGCGUGCGUGAUAACGGCCUACUGGUUGUGAACCGCUUUCGCAGGUGACGAAGCGUGAGUGACGGUAAUGGAUAAGAAAGCACCGGCUAACUACGUG